rnacentral:rRNA from 1 species
AGUGGCGUACGGGUGAGUAAUACGUAGGUAAUCUACCUGAGUGUCUGGAAUAACCUGCCGAAAGGCGGGCUAAUACUGGAUAGAGCGACGGGAUCCGUAAUUGGGUCUUUCGGGAAAGGGAGGGAGCAAUCUCCUUCGCACUCAGAUGAGCCUGCGUCUGAUUAGCUAGUUGGUGGGGUAAAGGCCCACCAAGGCGAUGAUCGGUAGCUGGUCUGAGAGGAUGAUCAGCCACACUGGAACUGAAACACGGUCCAGACUCCUACGGGAGGCAGCAGUGGGGAAUCUUGCGCAAUGGGCGAAAGCCUGACGCAGCCACGCCGCGUGAGUGAAGAAGGCCUUCGGGUUGUAAAGCUCUGUCGGAGGGGACGAAAAUACUUAAGGUGAAUAGCCUUAGGAACUGACGGUACCCUCAAAGGAAGCACCGGCUAACUUCGUGCCAGCAGCCGCGGUAAUACGAGGGGUGCAAGCGUUGCUCGGAAUUAUUGGGCGUAAAGGGUAGGUAGGUGGUCUGAUUUGUCAGGGGUGAAAGCCUUGGGCUUAACCCAAGAAGUGCCCCUGAAACGGUCAGACUGGAGUCUUGGAGAGGGUCGUGGAAUUCCCGGUGUAGCGGUGAAAUGCGUAGAGAUCGGGAGGAACACCAGAGGCGAAGGCGGCGACCUGGACAAGUACUGACACUCAACUACGAAAGCGUGGGUAGCAAACAGGAUUAGAUACCCUGGUAGUCCACGCUGUAAACGAUGGGUACUAGGUGUUCGGGGUAUUGACCCCCUGAGUGCCGCAGCUAACGCAUUAAGUACCCCGCCUGGGGACUACGGCCGCAAGGUUAAAACUCAAAGGAAUUGACGGGGGCCCGCACAAGCGGUGGAGCAUGCUGUUCAAUUCGA